AAUGAACGCUGGCGGCGCGCCUAAUACAUGCAAGUCGAGCGAGAAGACGUAGCAAUACGUUUGUAAAGCGGCGAACGGGUGAGGAAUACAUGGGUAACCUACCCUCGAGUGGGGAAUAACUAGCCGAAAGGUUAGCUAAUACCGCGUACGCUCCUUGGACUUCGGUUCAGGGAGGAAAGCGAUACCGUGGGUAUCGCGCUCUUGGUUGGGCUCAUGUCCUAUCAGCUUGUUGGUGAGGUAACGGCUCACCAAGGCUUCGACGGGUAGCUGGUCUGAGAGGACGAUCAGCCACACUGGCACUGCGACACGGGCCAGACUCCUACGGAGGCAGCAGUAAGGAAUAUUGCGCAAUGGGCGAAAGCCUGACGCGCGACGCCG
rnacentral:rRNA from 1 species